GCUUGAUGCGAACGUGUUUCGAUUCGAGUUUCGUCGUAAAAUUCGAUGCAAAUCCGAGGAAGAAAAAGAAAUAUUUUAUUUGAAGAAAUUUUAAAAUUUGAAGGAUGAUAUUUCUAUUUUUAAUAAUUACGAAAUUAAAAUACUCACGGGCCUUUUUCCAAUUCGACGAUAUGUAAAAUGCGAUGCUGGAUGAUUAUCGAAAGGAGCAUAUUCCAUGAUUAUGUGAACAUUUACGUCACACAAUUUUUGCUUAAAAAAUACUGUUUAUUGCAAAACAAGUUGCAAGUAUCUCUCUUUUAACAGGAUAUAAUGUAAAAUAAAUAUCACCAUACAUACAAAUCUACAUGCGCGUCAACGCACCAGUGAUUGUACAUCGUUUUGUUUUUAGUCUGAAUACAGUCUGAAUUUAAUAUUUUAUAGGGAUGGCUUCUCUUUUGAGUUUUCCCGACUGUGGUCAGCGUUAUCUAAAAGGAGGCUAGAAUAUCGCUAAAUGGAGUACCAGCUAAGGAAGCAUUAUAUUUCCCCGAAAAAAAAAUUACAAAGUUACGUCGACGUGAAAAGGAUACAAAGCUCUCAACCAAUGGUUUGU